UCGGGAAUUUUGGGCAAUGGGCGAAAGCCUGACCCAGCAACGCCGCGUGAAGGAUGAAGUAUUUCGGUAUGUAAACUUCGAAAGAAUAGGAAGAAUAGAUGACGGUACUAUUUAUAAUGUCCGGCUAACUACGUGCCAGCAGCCGCGGUAAUACGUAGGGACCAAGCGUUGUUCGGAUUUACUGGGCGUAAAGGGCGCGUAGGCGGCAAUUCAAGUCAUCUGUGAAAUCUCCGGGCUUAACUCGGAACGGCCAGAUGAUACUGCUUUGCUAGAGUGCAGAAGGGGCAAUCGGAAUUCUUGGUGUAGCGGUGAAAUGCGUAGAUAUCAAGAGGAACACCUGAGGUGAAGACGGGUUGCUGGGCUGACACUGACGCUGAGGCGCGAAAGCCAGGGGAGCAAACGGGAUUAGAUACCCAAGUAGUCCCUGAGCGGGCUGGCAAGGCGCAU
rnacentral:rRNA from 1 species